rnacentral:lncRNA from 1 species
GACCACUGAGCUCUACUAUAUAUAUCUGGAGACCGUGCUCCCAUAUCUCGUCAAACAAAAAAGUGUCCGCAAAAACAUGGCGGAUUUCGAGCUCCGCGUCCACUAUUUUCGGGCGAUUUACCACUGACCACAUAAUAUUUUUGAAAGCCACCUGUUUUCGCACCCCCCUGGAUGCAAAAAGUAUACACUGUGUAAUUAUCAAACUAUCAAGUUUCACAACUUUAUAUUUUGUCAACAUGCCGCGUUAAUAUUGCUCGGUUUAUGGUUGUCACAACUUCUUUGACAAAGACGGAUUGUAUUCACACUGUCACUGGUAAGGAAAUAUUAUUUUGUGCUUAAAUAUCAUUCGAGAAGUUUUUUCUGUAGUUUAUGUUUUGUUCACGUGCAUGUGUCACGUACCAGCUAUGGUACGACUAUGGCUUCUUUUCUGAGGUUUUUGCAUGCAGUUUGUUUCAUUCAAAUAUUAUAUUUCCAUUGUUCCUUGUGAUGUUCUCGUGUGCGUUUUCCCUACCUACUGUACAGUGUAUUUUAUAGGCCUGUCUGUAUUUAUGAAAGCAUAUUGUUAUUGAAUUUUUUCCCUUCACAUAUUUAAGUAUUCCUGAUGCAAAGAAGCAUCCAGAGUUGUACAGCAUAUGGGUUGAGUAUAUGAAUAAACAUGCGACAGUGAAGUCUGUUCCUGCGAAAAGUAGUCGUUUGUGUUCAGAUCACUUUAGUGCUGAUAUGUAUGAGAUAAAGGGAAAAAGCCAGAAAUUAGUAUUGAGACCGGAUGCUAAUACCAACAAUAGUUACACAAAGGUUUGCUCAGGUCAUUGGUGCGAUUUAAAGUGUUAAAGUGUUAUAUGUAACAGUGUGCAUGAGUUACAUUCUUUGCUAAGGGACAAGUCAUUAUUAAUGCCGGGUAGGGGGCUGGAGGAAAUUUUUAUGAAUAGCAAAAAUUUUUCAUGACCCCUUAUUUUUCUAACAAACUAUUUUAUCCCCCCCCCUUAUUGAGGCAACAUAUUUCAUAGCCCCCCCCCCUCCACCCCAAUUCUGAAUUCAAUUACUCUAAGUCAGUUUCAUAACCAUUUUUCCUGCCCUCAUACUCAGUUUACUAGCAGAUGUAAAGAAUAUUGUAAAUAUUGAAAAUAAAGAAUAUUGUAAAUAUUGAAAAUGAUAGCCAAGUAGAUAAUUCAGACUUUAUACCUGAAAAGUUGUUGGUCCUCAAACAAAAAACCCACAAAUCAGACCUACUUUUACUAAUUGAAAAAAAUACAUUUGUGUCUGGUGGAAGCAUUAUUACUGUAUAUUGAAGAGAUGGCAGAAGAGACUGUCAACAACAUGCAGAAACAGAACAUGCAAAAGAGGUCCACUGUGUUAAAAGCAGGACAACAACUGUCAACUGAAUCUUGCAUUUGCAAAUGCAGUGCAUGACCCUUUAGACAAAUUCUUUGGUGAUGAUGAGGAUGACAAUUUCCAUAUACAGUGCCUAGAACAAAACUUUUAGGUUCAAUAUAUUGGGCAUUACUGUUCAAUGUAUGUAUACUGUAUAUAUCCAUCACUCUUUUGAUAUUGCAUGUUACAAACUAUAGAUUUUAUUUUUUGCCCCCCCCCUUAAUGUUCAAAAUAUUUUCUCCCCCCCCCCCUUCACUGGUCAAAAUUUUUUUGUGGCCCCUCUAUAUUAAAAUUUAUUGUACAUUUACUAGGAAUGGUAUGCUGGAUGUGUUUUAAAAGAGGGCAUACAAAAUUGUGUGCCCAAAUAGAGCAAAAACCCACUCAGACAAUUGUUCAAGAACAACAUAAUAGGCACAAUUGCCAUGAUAAUUCACUAAGUAACUUUGUGUAUGUUAUAAUGUGUGAAUGUUGUGUGAGUGUUGUGUGUUAAUUUUAAUUUAUUUAUUAGGCCAUUAAUAAAUAUGCUUGGUUUGAAAAAUAUUUUAGGGGGAGAUGUCCCCACUGCUGGUGCCACCACUGGAAAUAUCAGCUAAUUAUAGCCAGCAUAGCUUCAAUAAAAUAUAUUGAAGUAAAUAUGACAUCAAAUACUCUUUUAUUAAAAGC